rnacentral:pre_miRNA from 7 species
GACCGCCAGUGAAAAUCGAUUUUCACUGGCGGUCGACGUAAUAAAACCGCCAAUGAAAAUCGAUUUUCAUUGGCGGUC